CUUCCGUAGGUGAACCUGCGGAAGGAUCAUUAUCGUUGGGCUUCGGCCCAUUCGAGAUAACACCCUUGCCUUUUUGAGUACCUCUUCGUUUCCUCGGCAGGCUCGCCUGCCAACGGGGACCCUUCAAAACGCUUUGUAAUACCUGUAAUUGUCUGAUAUAACAAGCAAAAAUCAAAACUUUCAACAACGGAUCUCUUGGUUCUGGCAUCGAUGAAGAACGCAGCGAAAUGCGAUAAGUAGUGUGAAUUGCAGAAUUCAGUGAAUCAUCGAAUCUUUGAACGCACAUUGCGCCCUUUGGUAUUCCUUAGGGCAUGCCUGUUCGAGCGUCAUUUAAACCUUCAAGCUCAGCUUGGUGAUGGGUGACUGUCCUCCCCUUUCGUGGGGGGACUCGCCUCAAAAACAUUGGCGGCCGGUACAUUGGCUUCGAGCGCAGCAGAAACGCGGUCUCGAGCCCGGUGGACUAGCUCCAUAAGCUUCUUCUUUAUUUUGACCUCGGAUCAGGUAGGGAUACCCGCUGAACUUAAGCAUAUCAAUAAGCGGAGGAAGGAA
rnacentral:rRNA from 1 species